UUUUGGCGCGUAAACAUACACGCCACGCGGUUUGUGAUAGUGUUUUUUCUAUGAUGGUGGGUUACCGGUCUUUUUCCUGUGAUAUCUUGCCGCAUGACGAUGUGAAAAUCAAACAAUUGACUCAUGUGACAAGUCAAGAUGUAAAAACUUCUUUUUUACGGAUAAUGAAGAAAUUGUUUUCUAAUGAAUUAGCAGUGCAAUACAGUUGGUAUGGAGCAAAAAAAAAAGAAAUUUUUUCGCAGUUAAAUAUCUGCAAAAUAAUCAUGUGUGUAAUAAGAAAAGUACACAAGAAUGCUAAAGUACAGACGAACAAAUUUCUAAUCCCAUAAAAAUAUGGCUAGCACACGCGAAAGAACGCCUACAAAAGCAAACACCGAUAAAUAUUUAAUGUUUGUCUUUACAUACAUAUUUAUAUAUUUAAUACAAUAAUUAUUAGUCCGCACACAACUUUUCUGGUAAUGUUCCAACAGAUAGUUUAAUGAUUUUUGACUAAUAAUUGCUGGUCUUUUGCGUUAUAUAACUCUGCGUUAAUAACUCUGUUUUAGCAAUAUGGUACAAACUGAUGUGCAAUGUUGAUAGCAAUUUGUGUUAAAAUAACU